GGGGAUGCCGAGAUUCGACUAGGAGCAUCAACCGUGAAAUUGCAAGCCGAGGUGAACUGUCUCGUAAAUCCGGUUCAAAAAAUUUAACUGCCAACACAAAUGUUAGCAGGACUCCAGCUUUCGCUUUUGCGUAAAGUCUAGAGUUCACCCUCCUCGGAGGGCAUCAGUCUUUGAGGCUUCAUAGAAGGUCGCUGGUGUUAUAAAUGAAGCUAAGCUAUUCGGGUUCGCAUCCGCCGACGAAUAGUCGAAAACCAAUGAAUGCACUUCGUUUGGCCGCAAGGCAAAACUAAGCUUGUAGACGUUUCCGGAAAAUCUUCUUGUACGUGGGCGCAACUCCCACCAUCUCCACAC
rnacentral:tmRNA from 1 species